AAUGAGUUCCUGUGUAUGUCCAAAUGCAGCAUUUCACUUACUGGUUUCUACAUGAUUCACUUUUAUGCGCCUUUGCUCAGCUACAGCUGGGAGUUAAUCACUGGAUUUCAGUGCUUUUCUCAUCCAUCCAGAUGCUCCUCAAGCCAAAAAUGUUUUGCUGUCUAAAGAAGAGCAAACAGAAUCUAAGGUUGCGGUCUGGAAUAAUUGCAUCAGUCAGCAGGGAACAGACUCCUUCUGCUCUCCCUUCUUGAGAUUGCCCUUAAAAGCUGCUUAUAGUCCUAACCACUUAAGUAGAAGAAAGAUAUAUGUGACUACUGUGCCAAUGGCUAGAAGUCAUAUGCAGAAACACUGAGAACUUGUUUGGGAAGAGACUGAAGAGGAAGAACACACAUGACUCAUACAAAAAUGUAUUGAGCAUUGUGUUUCUACAAAAGAUAAC
rnacentral:lncRNA from 1 species